AGGGCACCACCAGGAGUGGAGCCUGCGGCUUAAUUUGACUCAACACGGGGAAACUCACCCGGCCCGGACACCGGAAGGAUUGACAGAUUGAUAGCUCUUUCUUGAUUCGGUGGAUGGUGGUGCAUGGCCGUUCUUAGUUGGUGGAGCGAUCUGUCUGGUUAAUUCCGAUAACGAACGAGACUCUAGCCUAUUAAAUAGACGUCGGGUUCUCUGCACUCGACGGUCUUCUUAGAGGGACAAGGUGCUUUUAGCACCGCGAAACAGAGCAAUAACAGGUCUGUGAUGCCCUUAGAUGUCCGGGGCCGCACGCGCGCUACACUGAAGGAAGCAGCGUGUAACAACCUUGUUCUAACGAACUGGGUAACCCGUGGAACUUCCUUCAUGAUUGGGAUAGGGGUUUGCAAUUGUGCCCCCUGAACGAGGAAUUCCCAGUAAACACUAGUCAUCAGCUAGUGCUGAUUACGUCCCUGCCCUUUGUACACACCGCCCGUCGCUACUACCGAUUGAAUGGUUUAGUGA
rnacentral:rRNA from 1 species